rnacentral:rRNA from 1 species
GGUAGCCGGACUGAGGAGGUUGGAACGGCCACAUUGGGACUGAGACACGGCCCAGACUCCUACGGAAGGCAGCAG